rnacentral:rRNA from 1 species
GAUGAACGCUGGCGGCGUGCCUAAUACAUGCAAGUCGAGCGAACAGACGAGGAGCUUGCUCCUCUGACGUUAGCGGCGGACGGGUGAGUAACACGUGGAUAACCUACCUAUAAGACUGGGAUAACUUCGGGAAACCGGAGCUAAUACCGGAUAAUAUAUUGAACCGCAUGGUUCAAUAGUGAAAGACGGUUUUGCUGUCACUUAUAGAUGGAUCCGCGCCGCAUUAGCUAGUUGGUAAGGUAACGGCCUACCAAGGCAACGAUGUGUAGCCGACCUGAGAGGGUGAUCGGCCACACUGGAACUGAGACACGGUCCAGACUCCUACGGGAGGCAGCAGUAGGGAAUCUUCCGCAAUGGGCGAAAGCCUGACGGAGCAACGCCGCGUGAGUGAUGAAGGUCUUCGGAUCGUAAAACUCUGUUAUUAGGGAAGAACAAAUGUGUAAGUAACUAUGCACGUCUUGACGGUACCUAAUCAGAAAGCCACGGCUAACUACGUG